rnacentral:rRNA from 1 species
GUUGUCGCUAGGCAGGCGUGCCAUAAUACAUGCAGUCGAGCGGAUGACAGAAGGAGCUUGCUCCUUUUGAUUCAGCGGCGGACGGGUGAGUAACACGUGGGCAACCUGCCCUGUAGAUUGGGAUAACUCCGGGAAACCGGGGCUAAUACCGAAUAAUCCUUCGGACCUCAUGGUCCGAUGUUGAAAGGCGGCUUCUGCUGUCACUACCGGGUGGGCCCCCGGCCGAUUAGCUAGGUGGUGAGGUAACCGCUCACCAAGGCCACCGUGCGUAGCCGACCUGAAAGGGUGAUCGGCCACACUGGGACUGAAAACGGCCCAGACUCCUACGGGAGGCAGCAGUAGGGAAUCUUCCACAAUGGACGAAAGUCUGAUGGAGCAACCGCCGCGUGAGGGGAGGAAGUUCUCGGACCGUAAAACUCUUGUGUGAGGGAAGGAACAAGUACCGGAGUAACUGCCGGUACCUUGACGGUACCUCAUUAGGAAGAGCCACGCUUAACUACCGUGCCAGCAGCCGGUAAAUUA